CCUACGGGAGGCAGCAGUGAGGAAUAUUGGUCAAUGGGCUUACGCCUGAACCAGCCAAGUCGCGUGAGGGAAGACUGCCCUAUGGGUUGUAAACCUCUUUUGCCAGGGAGCAACGCCGGCUACGUGUAGCCGGACUGAGAGUACCUGAAGAAAAAGCAUCGGCUAACUCCGUGCCAGCAGCCGCGGUAAUACGGAGGAUGCGAGCGUUAUCCGGAUUUAUGGGGUUUAAAGGGUGCGUAGGCGGAAUGCCAAGUCAGCGGUAAAAUCGCAGGGCUCAACCUCGCUCCGCCGUUGAAACUGGCGUUCUUGAGUGGGCGAGAAGUAUGCGGAAUGCGUGGUGUAGCGGUGAAAUGCGUAGAUAUCACGAGGAACUCCGAUUGCGAAGGCAGCAUACCGGCGCCCAACUGACGCUGAAGCACGAAAGCGUGGGUAUCGAACAGGAUUAGAUACCCGGGUAGUC
rnacentral:rRNA from 1 species